CUCCUACGGGAGGCAGCCGUAGGGAAUCUUCCCCCAAGGCCGCAAGUCUGACUGAGCAACACCGCCGCAGUGAUGAAGGCCUCCGGGUCGUAAAACUCAGUUUUCGGGAAGAACAAGAACUAGUUAAUAAGCGGCACCUGACGUCCACCAAAGCUGUCGAAA
rnacentral:rRNA from 1 species